AUACCAUGCUGAAUAUACCGGUUCUCGUUAGAUAAGUCAAGCAUCAUUGGGCGCGGUCAGUACUUGGGUGGGUGACCACCUGGGAACACCGCGUGCCGUU